rnacentral:rRNA from 1 species
GUGUCAGCAGCCGCGGUAAGACGAACCGUGCGAACGUUGUUCGGAAUCACUGGGCUUAAAGGGCGCGUAGGCGGGCUAUCAAGUCCGGGGUGAAAUCCUCCAGCUUAACUGGAGAACGGCCUCGGAUACUGAUGGUCUCGAGGAGGAUAGGGGCACACGGAACUGUGGGUGGAGCGGUGAAAUGCGUUGAUAUCCAUAGGAACUCCGGUGGCGAAAGCGGUGUGCUGGAUCCUUUCUGACGCUGAGGCGCGAAAGCCAGGGGAGCAAACGGGAUUAGAUACCCCAGUAGUCC